GAGGCUAUAGCUCAGUGGUACAGUGCAUGCCUAGGAUAUACAAGGUCCUGGGUUCAAUCCCCAGUACCUCCA
rnacentral:tRNA from 1 species